rnacentral:rRNA from 1 species
UUGUAGGGAACUGAAAGGACGACCUUCGGGGAGCCUAUACAGGUGUUGCAUGGCUGUCGUCAGCUCGUGUCGUGAGAUUGUUCGGUUAAGUCCGCUAACGAGCGCAACCCUCGUCGUAUGUUAUAUGUGUCAUACGAGACUGCCGGUAAAAAGCCGGAGGAAGGUGAGGAUGAUGUCAAGUCAGCAUGACCUUUAUAUCCAGGGCUACACACACGCUACAAUGGUCUGUACAAUGGGUAGCCAAGCCGCGAGGCGGAGCCAAUCCUGAAAGCAGGCCUCAGUUCAGAUUGCAGUCUGCAACUCGACUGCAUGAAGCCGGAGUUGCUAGUAACCGCAGGUCAGCAAUACUGCGGUGAAUACGUUCCCGGGUCUU